rnacentral:rRNA from 1 species
UGCUUACACAUGCAGUCGAACGAUGAAGCCGGGUGCUUGCACCGGGUGGAUUAGUGGCGAACCGGUGAGGCUCACGUGAGUAACCUGCCCUUGACUCUGGGAUAAGCCUGGUAAACUGGGUCUAAUACCGGAUAUGACCAGUCCUCGCAUGGGGUGCUGGUGGAAAGAUUUCAUCGGUCUUGGAUGGACUCGCGGCCUAUCAGUUUGUUGGUGAGGUAAUGGCUCACCAAGGCGAUGACGGGUAGCCGGCCUGAGAGGGUGACCGGCCACACUGGGACUGAGACACGGCCCAGACUCCUACGGGAGGCAGCAGUGGGGAAUAUUGCACAAUGGGCGCAAGCCUGAUGCAGCGACGCCGCGUGCGGGAUGACGGCCUUCGGGUUGUAAACCGCUUUCAGCAGGGAAGAAGCUUUUUGUGACGGUACCUGCAGAAGAAGCGCCGGCUAACUACGUGCCAGCAGCCGCGGUAAUACGUAGGGCGCGAGCGUUAUCCGGAAUUAUUGGGCGUAAAGGGCUCGCAGGCGGUUUGCCACGUCUGCUGUGAAAGCCCGGGGCUUAACUCCGGGUGUGCAGUGGGUACGGGUAGACUAGAGUGCAGUAGGGGAGACUGGAAUUCCUGGUGUAGCGGUGAAAUGCGCAGAUAUCAGGAAGAACACCGAUGGCGAAGGCAGGUCUCUGGGCUGUUACUGACGCUGAGGAGCGAAAGCAUGGGGAGCGAACAGGAUUAGAUACCCUGGUAGUCCAUGCCGUAAACGUUGGGCACUAGGUGUGGGGGACAUUCCACGUUUUCCGCGCCGUAGCUAACGCAUUAAGUGCCCCGCCUGGGGAGUACGGCCGCAAGGCUAAAACUCAAAGGAAUUGACGGGGGCCCGCACAAGCGGCGGAGCAUGCGGAUUAAUUCGAUGCAACGCGAAGAACCUUACCAAGGCUUGACAUGGACCGGAUCGCUGCAGAGAUGUAGUUUCCCUUCGGGGCUGGUUCACAGGUGGUGCAUGGGUUGUCGUCAGCUCGUGUCGUGAGAUGUUGGGUUAAGUCCCGCAACGAGCGCAACCCUUGUCCUAUGUUGCCAGCACGUGAUGU